GAUUAACGCUAGCGGCAGGCCUAAUACAUGCAAGUCGAACGGCAGCACGGAUAGCAAUAUCUGGUGGCGAGUGGCGCACGGGUGCGUAACACGUAUGCAAUCUACCCUUAACUGGGGGAUAGCCCCGAGAAAUCGGGAUUAAUACCCCAUAACAUUGCGAUGAGGCAUCUCAUUGCAAUUAAAGCUCCGGCGGUUUUGGAUGAGCAUGCGCGACAUUAGUUAGUUGGUGAGGUAACGGCUCACCAAGACUUCGAUGUCUAGGGGUUCUGAGAGGAUUCACCCCCACACUGGUACUGAGACACGGACCAGACUCCUACGGGAGGCAGCAGUAAGGAAUAUUGGUCAAUGGGCGCAAGCCUGAACCAGCCAUGCCGCGUGAAGGAUGACGGCCCUACGGGUUGUAAACUUCUUUUGUACGGGAAAAAACCACCGGUCGUGAACCGGUGCUGAUGGUACCGUAAGAAUAAGCAUCGGCUAACUCCGUGCCAGCCGCCGCCGUAA
rnacentral:rRNA from 1 species